CAUUAAGAAGCUAUGAAACAGCAACAGCCUUUUAAGCUGUAGAAAGAUGGCUACAACCACCCUUAAUGA
rnacentral:tRNA from 1 species